rnacentral:pre_miRNA from 1 species
CACUUACUCCCUCCAUCCCAAAAAGCUUGUCUUAGAUUUGUCUAGAAUCCCUAUCUAGACAUGCUUUAGUGUUUGAUACACACGUAUCUAGAAAAAUGUAAGACAAGCAUUUUGGGACGGAGGUAAUAGUAU